AGUAUUUUUCCAUGCUCUCUUCUCCCAAAUCAGACGAGGGGUUUAAAUUGUGAUACACAGGUUGCUCCGUCACAACGUGACAACCAUCACCGACCAGCGAUUCCAGCCGCGGUUCGUCCGUCUUCUACUUCCGCUUCACGAAGAACAAGUAAAUUCUCGUUUUAUGAUUUACGCGCUAAUCUAAUUAGUUUAUCGCGUUACUCUUCAUUGGUAUCAGAGCCAUAUAAUAGUUUUCUGGUCUGAAAAAUAUAUUAGAAUAGUUCUAUUACUCUAUGUAAAUAUAGAACUAUGUGUAUAUUUUUUUUUUGAAUGAAUAAUCUGCCAUGCAAUUGGGAAUGAUAAAACAGUUUGCUAUAUACCGUGGUAUCUAGAAUUAUGUGUUUAUUCAUAUCAAAUUUUCUAUGCAAUUGGAACUAGUUAAUCAGUUUAACUUUUGAAUGAUUUUUUUAAUUUAAUCUGAAAUCGAUUUUCAGAAUCUGAUUAAAAGAAAUCAGUGUCCAUUAAGUUUUAUGAAUUUCUGUAUGUAAUUGAAAUUGUAUAUCAAUAUUCAAUACUGACUUGAAAUAAUCUGGGAUUUUAUUGAAGAACCUUUUAUUUCUGAAACUGAUCAGAAAUACCACAAAAAAAAAAGGAAUCAAUUUUUUUUUAAUAAUUUUCUCGAUCAUCAAACCCGCUUCCCACGCCGCCUGAGAUCCACCGGCUCAGCUGGUGGAGGUCGUCUAAGAAACGACCAGUAAACUCCCUUAUUUUAAGCCAUAGAGAGGAAGAGCUUUAGAGAGCCAUGGCUUCUUUUUUCUCUCUUCUCUGAAAUUUAUAUAUAUGUAUAUAAUUUUAAAAAAAAUGGGGGCGAAGCUUGGUGCUCCAAUGGGGCAGUGGCAAAAAGAAAAGAGGAAAGAGAGAGAUUAGGGUUUUUCUCCAACCUCUGAAAUUUGAAAGAUUGAAAAAUGAAAAAGAAAAAAAAGGGAAGAAAAUAUGGAGGGUUGCUGGCGGAUGUCCCCUAAAGAAGAAGAAAAAGAGAGAUUAGGUUUCUCUUUUUUAAAAUGCAAAGAUGCCUCGUAUUUAAAAAAAAAAUAUUUUUUUGUUGGAAAUUAGGUUUUAGAAGCUGAUGGGCUUCUUUCUCUAUAGUGUGGCAUAUUUUAAGAAAAUUGGGCUAAAGGCCCACUCAAAAUUGGCUUGUAAUGUUUUUUAUUGCACUUUUAAGAAAUUGGGCUUUACUUUAAAAAUUUGCAGCACUCAAUUGUCUUGUUGUUCUAUUUGGACUUAUGGCCUAUUUUAAAUACUUUAGACAAUAAUUGUUUUGGGCUCACAACCUAAAUUAAAAAUUACAUAAGCUUCUUUUUUGAUUAAUUCCAAAUUUCAAAAAUUAGUCUUAUUGACUUAAUUUUCGGAAUAUAAAUUUAGUAUUUAUAUUCUUUAUGAAAAAUAUAAUUAUAUUAUUAUCCCAAUUGCUUGAAAUGUUAAUUAGUUUAACAUUAAAUUUAUUUAUUAAUUUUUUUAACUGCUUGAAAUAUUAAUUUGUUAAAGAAUGAGUACUGCUUCGAAAAAUAUUGUUGUUGAGCUCAACAAAGGGUUGAAGCUCAAUGGUGACAACUAUGAAACCUGAAGCUUGAAAGUCUAGUAUGUGCUAGAGGAGCAAGAGGCUCUACAGGUCAUUAACAAUGUCAUGAAUGAGCCUGAGGAAGGUAACACUGUUCAGCAUAGGCGUGAGCGUGAAGCCUAUAACAGUUGGAAGAAAACGAACUCCAUUGCUCACAUUACGUUGUUGAGCAACUUGGAUGAUGUCAUCCUAAGGGAGUAUAAGGAUCACCAAAGAGCUAUGGAUCUUUGAAAUGCUUUGAGGAAAAGGUUUGGUACUUGUUCCACUGCAAGGCUGCGAUCCUUAACGAUCAAACUUGAUUCAUAUAAGAAACGACCAGAACAUUCAAUGAAAACACAACUGAGGCAAAUGACAAAUAUGAUCGGGGAGUUGAAAGAUGUUGGUCAUCUGUUGACUGAUGAAUAACAAAUCCAAGCUGUCAUACGUUCUUUACCUAGUUUUUGGAAUCAUAUAAAAAUGUAUUUGACCCAUAAUGAGCGAAUCACAACUCUAAAAGAUGUCCGGAGGCAUCUUGAGUUAGAGGAAGAAUAACUUGAGGUUGCAAAGCCAAUAGCUGAAUUGCACAUGACAACAACCUCCAAAACUAAGAGUGAUUCAAAGAAAGGAAUUGGGGAAAGAAGAGAGGGCCACCUCACACUACAAAAAAAAUAGUGUUUAGCGACGGCCGUAUUCCGUCGCUAAACGACUAUUUUCCGUCACUACAGUUGUUUAGCGACGGAUUAGCGACGAAUUCAAGUUUAUCUCUAAAAUGCUCGUAGCUAGGCUCAUAGCGACGAAAAAUACCAAACCGUCACAGAAUUAGCAAUGGAUGAGCGGUGGAAUAUAUCUGUAGCAAAGUUUAGCGAUGGAAAUAACCGUCGCUAUAUUACUUGUUUCUGUCGCUAUUUUGACGACUUUUGUCUCUAUAAUAGAUAACAAAAUUCGUCGUUUCUUCUUAGUAGCGAUGAAAUCGUCCAUCGCUAGUCGUGUUAUAGCUAGUUCUCCCUGCUUUUUGCAACAAAAAUCUUUUGUCGCCAAUUCGUCGCAAGAUUUAAUUUUACACGAUAAUUUUAGCUACGGAAAGUAUCCGUCGCUAAUUUAUUUUUAACAUAUUGCUAAUUUUUUAAAAUUCUUUUUAUUUAUUAUUUUAAAUGUACUCUGUUCAAGCAUAUUACGUAAAAGCUAUUAAAUACACUUAAUAAAAAGUCACUGAUAUUAAUAUAAAUUAACAAUAUAUUCAACAAGGUCCAAAAUAUAUAGCAUAAUGCAUAUAACGGUAUCGUUAAGUACAAAAAAUUCACAAGGACCAACAAUAAAGUCCAAACAAAAUAGGCUAACUAUGCGAGGCUGGAGAGUUACGGUCAUCAUCUCAAUGCAUGAACCUCUUCAAUGUUAGCAACAGUAGAAGAUGUAGGAACUGUAGGUGCCACAUCUAAUGGGUGGUUGGUAAGAUCAAUAUUUGGCUUAUGCGAGGGUAAGGAAACUAAUUUGCGUACCCGCUCAAUAAUUACAGGAACUAUAUGAUAUGUCAGUGCAUGAAUCAAUCGCAUCACUAACUCAUCCAGAUUCUCUGUCGGUGUUGAUUGAGCAUUUGGAGGUGUUGCUGUGAUGUAGCAUCAGAUCCAAAAGAGUCAUGAAGAUUUGGCCCGUAGUAGCAUUUUGCUUGAGAUCCAAGACCAUAUACUCUUCUUUUCUUUUCUCCUCCCGCGGAUUGAUAAUAUGCUUUAUACUGAUCACUAUCAGAUUGAGUAUGUGUUUGUUGUUAUAAUAUCUCCUGAUAUUUUUCCUGUAGAAGAGUUAAUAAUUAGUGAAAUAAAAAGACUAAAUAAUAUUGAGCAUUCAAUUUACAAAAUAAAAAAAUAUAUGAAAGUAAAGUCAAUAAAAUUAUUUAAAAAACUAUCUUACAUGUACGAUUCGGGAUUUCUCAGCAACAAAAGAUUUUCCAUCAUUACCACGUGUAUGGACGUGCAAAUGCAACUCAAUUGGUGUUGGAUCUCGAUCCUUUUUAACAGCCUUUACAAAAGUUAUCCAAUUAAGAAGAUAGACCUUAAGACUGUCAAGAAUCAAGUUCUGUUAUCAAUUUUGUCUUUAUAUAACUAAUAUAGUAGUUGUCAAGUUAAACUAAACUUCCAUUUCUUUGUUGCUAGUUUUGGCAAGGGGAAGCAGCAAACUUAAGGCAACAACUGAAUUACUUGCAAGAAAGCCACAGGUAAAUCGAUGAGAUAUGGUAGCGCAUUUAUAGCCAUUGAGUACCUUAGUAUUGCAGCCACUGUUGAUACAUGCUUUUACAGCAAAAAACCUUUUCAUAUGAAUGCAGACCGACUAGAGAACAUAGGACUGCAGGGUAUAAAGCAGUGAAUUUAGAAGCUAAAGAGACUCACUUCUCAGGCAAAUAUGGCCCAACUAUUGCACUUAUAUCUACACUCAAGCUAGAAACAGAGCAAAUCAGCAUCCAGAAGUGUUUGCAUACACUAUCAUCGAUAAUUUUUUCUAGGGGCCCAAAUCUAGAUUAUGGAUCACCAAAAGUUUCCACGAAAAAGGACUAGCAAUCAUAUCUACUACAUGGUAAAAUAAUUCAAGAAACAUAAGCACUUGUAAUAUAUUAUCAUUCAACCUGAAAGUUGGUAAGAAAUUGCGAAAUACCACAUUACAUGGACCACAACUCAACGAAACUGAUUGUUUUGACAGUAAACUGAGCUCAUUCAUAGCCCGUAAGAUAGCCAUGCAAUGUAGAUUUCAAAGAGGAGCAUUAGUUUUAGGAGCUUAUUCUUUGUCCUUAAUUUGACAUCCUUCUUGCAGACCAUUCUUCCUAUAUAUAUUUAGCCUGAUUAACAGGCUUCAGUGAGUUGAUUUUUCACUACUGGACAGUACUCCAGAUCUUGCAUACUUGCGAUUAACAAUCAGAACAAUGCUUGAGGGGAGCAAUAGAUUACUCAUUUAAAACUUACUGGUUCUUUGAUGGAAAAUGUGGGCUUCUACUGGUUCUUUGAUGGAAAAUAGAGCAGGCAGCAGGAAUGGAGCAGGCGGACUUUUAAACCUACUAAAGAAAUUUCCAAGAUUAAACCUACUGGUCAUAGAGUUUUAAACCUACUGGUCAUAGAGUUUCAAAUUUCACAAGUGAAAGUUGAGGAUAUUGUCAUGGAACUAUCUAUACCUAUGGAAUUUAAAACUCUAUUUUUCAAUUAGAAGACUGAAAAGUGGUUAUUUAUGAAUUUUAUCCCAUUUGCCACCAUUUAAAUGUCCAUUCCUCCUGUCAGUUUUUAAGCAUUUUCUUAUUCUCCACAUGGAACUUUUGACAAGUUAGAUCUGAGAAUUUUCUUUUAAUCUUUUAAUGGAAUCAGUUAAACUUACUACUUUUAACAUGACACCAACAGCUAUUAGAAAUAACUAUUAGAAACCAGUGGCAACAAGUUCAAAGUAGGACAAUUUCAGCUAUCAAUUUACUCCAUAACUAUCCCAAAAAUAGUUGCAAACUUCAAUAAUUAAACCAAUCAGUUUUCCCAGAACAUGAUUUGAUUUCAAUACUUCAAAACUGGUUUUCAAUCAGUCUCUAGUGAUUCAAACUCAAAUCAGCUAACUCCAAUCAAUUUCACAACAGCUAUCAACAAGGAAUAAACUUGGACACUUAAAACAGUGUAAGAACUGAAGGAUAGGAUUGACAUUUUUUCUGAAAAUGAGCUUCAAAUCGAUCUCUGAAGCAGCAACUCAUACAACCUUAAACAAUAACAGUAUGACUCGACAUUAUUUCUAAUUCUCGAACCUCAAUCAGUAGUAACAAAGAUGAGACUCAGUUCAAUUCAAACUCAAUCAAACAGUCUCAAUUUAUAAGAAAAAUACAAGUCCUACUAAUGCACAAAAGUUCAAUAAACAUAACUCAAAGGCAGAAUAUUAAAAAUAGAACAAGAGACAAUCCGCAUCUCACAACUUCAGGUAACCUACUUAAAUGAGAUUCAGAUUCGAAUUAGAGCAAACAUAAAUGAGAUUUUCAGAUAUUUUAUAUACACUUACAAGUCUCUUGCGAUGCUCCCCAACACUGAUAGAGCCACCUGUGUGAGUCCCAGUGGCAACUCCGCUCCCAGCACAAUGAUUUUUUGUAUUUAUUUCUGACUUUUCAACAUACUUAGGAUCUUUCCAAAGUCUCAACCAACUUUGCCACACAUUAUUUGGAAUAGAGUCCGGUUGCACCCCAUUUGAUUUUAGUUUUCUAACAAAAUCACUGUAUCUUUUUGCUGCCCUACGCUCCCAUUGGAUCCGCACUGCACUAUCAAUUGAAGAAUCCUAGUAGAAUACCUUUUGAAAUAAUUUUAUAAAGUAAUAACAUUAACAAGUUACAUAUAAAAGUUAAUAUACUUUCUAAAUCCAAUUGUGAUGGAUUAUACCUUGAAUUCUCCAAAAUAAUUUUUUUUUUAUCUCAUCUGAGACGCUUUUCCAGUUGAAUCCAUUAGGAUCAAGUUCAUGCUUGAAAGACUUAGUUAUACACUCAGAGCAUUCAUAUGAAGGCUCUAACCUGAACAAAUUAGAAGAUAUUAUUUAAAGGCAUACCAUAUAUCAAUAAAAAUAUACCAAAAGUAAUAGUACAAGUAUGUACUAACCCAGCAGGAGAAAUAGUAAGAAGCGUCUGUGGCCCGGGGGUACUGCUACACUCAGUUUCGCCUAUUAUGUUGCUUUGAGAAAAUGUACCCUCGCCUAUUAUGUUGCUCUGAUUAGGGGUAUUUGGAGAUGGUUCUGAAUUAAUAGUUGGGGUACUACCAUGGCUUGAUGUUUGAAUAGGUGACGUACUACUGGGACCUAAUGUUUGAACUUGAUUGAUGUGAACUGGUCCACCUGAGGAACUCGUACCACCUUGUUGAUGACUAAUUAUGGGAAUGGGAACAAUAGGCAUAUUUUCAUGAGUAGAAAAAUUACCCCUAACUGAUGAUUUACCUACACGGCCUGCGCUACCUCGACCUCUACCUCGAGGCAUAUCUACAAAAUAAAUAAAUAAAAGAAGGAUAUGAAACAAUGCAUAUCUAAAUAACAUAUGGCAUAUGAAGCUUCAAAAUAAAAUAUUCUGCUAAAGACAAUAUCAGAAAGACACUAUUAAAUUGACACAAAGAGACAUAACACAAUACAAAAAAUACCUGCACUAUCCAAUGCUUGAACUACUCACUAAAUUGUUGAAUUUGAUAACUUCUUUAGGCCAAAAUACAACGAUAUUGGCUCUAAUUAAUUCUGAAUUUAGACAGAUUAAUCAGGUAACACUAUUAAGUUGUUAAUAAACAUUAUUCUACUGCUAUAAAAAAAGAGUGUAAUGUAAAAAGAGGCACAACACAACAUAAGCUAGAAGAGUACUAUACCAUUUAGAUUACUACAAACGUGGAUUCGGUUUGAUUCUCUAUAGAUUAUACUAUAAAAUAGAUACAUGACUUAUAACAUACCACAUAGAUUACUAGAAAAACAAAACUCAACAAAAAUAUAGUAGUGCAUUUUUAUCAACACACUAGUCAUCAUCUGUUUCUUCUUCAAACUCUUCCUCAUCAUCCUCCUCAUUUUCAUCCUCAGUUUCAUACUCGUCUUUUGAAGAUUCUUCUUCAAACUCUUGACACUCUAUCAAUAAUCCAUCAUCAAUGGGUUCAACCAUUUCAAUUACAUCGCCAUUUGGAUCAUGUAAGAUUAUAUUCUCAUCCGUGGUGAAAUUAAUAUCUAUCAAAUGGACUUUAACUUCUUCAACUUGGAAUGGAAGAUUCGGUUCUGGAGUUGAUGUUAUUGCCUCAUCAGAAAGUUCAAUAAUAUCCAGAGGUUUAACUUUCAAAAUAGCUACCCAAUCAGCAUUGUUCUUUUUUGUGCUAGGAUAAGGCACAUAACACACUUGAGUUGCUUGCAUCGCAAGAAUAAAAGGUUCGUACUUUCUAAAACGACGACGAUGGUUCACAUCGACUAAUUUGUAUUGAUUAUGCUCCUUGACACCAACAUUCACAGUUGGAUCAAACCAUUCACACUUGAAUAACACAGUUUGCUUUAAAGGUUAUUCACGGUAUUUCACUUGUAUAAUCUCUUGUAUCCGUCCAUAAUAGUCACCAACAUUUGGAUUCGAGAUACAAAAUCCACUAUUAAUUGUUGAUCUUGCACUACCACUACAUUCCGUGUGAAAUUUAUUUCCAUUAACAAAAUACACCGGAUAACAUUUUGCGCUUAUUAAUGGUCCAUGAGCAAGACUACGCAAGAAUUGGUUCUCAAUGUGGUUGCAUCGAAUCUAUUUCAAAAUAAUUAUAAGACUUAGUUAAAUAUAGCAAGCCAAUUCAAGUACAUAAUUGCUUAAACGAUAAUGAUUUUUAUAGUCUUACAUAUUCCUUGAACCAUAUAGUAAAACACGUUUCGAGACUCUCAUUUAUUUGAUCCUGAGAUAGAUUGGGGAAUUCUUCUUGUAACCGUUGUAUGUACAUACUUCAUUGAAACAAAAUAAGUUAAAUAUAGACUCAAAAUAUAUGGAUAUAUUUAUUAUUAUUAAAAAUUGAUACCUUACAAACGGCUCAACCUCUACACAAUUUAGUAGAAUAUAAGUUUGGGCUGCCUUGAUUUAUUCGAGGGACAAACUUCUCUUUUUUCCUUCUCCCCAUAGUCGGCCUGGAUGGGUGAAUAUUGAUAAAUUUCCUUCAAGAUCUUCCAUCACACCACCAUCAUCAUUACGGGCCACAUUAUGAUUACGUGUCAUGACAUGAGGUUUAAAAUAAUGAAAAAAUAAUUGUAUUGAUUCCAUCAUCAAGUAUGCUUCACAAAUUGAACCCUCGACAUAGCUUUAUUUUUUUAAUCAUUUUUUAAGAGUUCGAAGGUACCUAUACAAGUAAAUGGAUAGACCAUUAAAUUCAUAAAGUCAUGUGUAACAUAAUUGUCAUAAUAAGAGCAUAAAAAGUUUAUAACCUCUCAAAAGGAUACAUCCAUCUAUAUUGUAUAGGUCCAGCAAUCCUUGAUUCAUAUGGCAGGUGUACAUGCACAUGUUCCAUUGAGUUAAAGAAUCCAGGAGGAAAUAUACGCUCUAACUUACACAAGAUCUGUGGGAUGUCUGCCUCUAAUCUCUCCAUGUCCACCACUCGAAGAACAGUCGAGGUGAGAUCCUUAAAAAAUAAGCUCAAUUCCGUAAGUGCUUGCCACACGUUACUAGGAAGUAGCUCACAAAAGUUGCAUGAACACAUGUCAAUCAUAACUUUUCAUACCAAAUAAUUUAUACUUGUCUGUGUCUAGGCAUCGACUCAAAUUCGAAACAUACCCAUCUGGAAACUUCACAUUUUCCAACCAAUUGAACAAGACAAUUUUUUGAUUCUUCUCUAUUGUAUAUGUAGCUUUGGGAUAGCUUCCAUCAAUAGGAUUCUUUGCCAAUUGCGGUCGAUCGCAAUAGUUUACCAUAUCUUCACGUGCCUUUGGAUUGUCUUUUGUUUUGCCAUCAACAUUAAGAACUAUGUUAAAUACAUUAUCAAAGACAUUCUUUUCAAUAUGCAUGACAUCGAGAUUAUGUCGGAUCAUGUUAAAGCUCCAAUAAGGCAAAUCCCAAAAGAUGCUUCUCUUUUUCCAUCCACAAGACCUAGAAAUUCUCCCAUUAACUUCUUGUGCAUCUAGCUCAGCUACUUUCCUCAGUCCCAACUCACAAAUUUGGUUCAAGAUUUCCUCUCCAGUUCUAAGGGGUAGUGGUAGCCUUAUGAUAGUAUGACCUUUACGAAAGUAUUUACGAUCUCUCCUAAACGAAUGAUUUUGGUCAAGAAACAUUCUAUGACUAUCAAACCAAGUUAUUUUCCCACCAUGACGUAAUCUAAAGGAUUUUGCUUCCUCAAUACAAUACGGACAUGCUAAGUUACCGGCAGUACUCCAUCUCGAUAACAUAGAAUGUGCUGGAAAGUCAUUGAUUGUCCACAUCAAAGCGGCCCUUAAUUGAAUUUUUUUUUUUGAGAUGUCAAAUGCUUCUACACCCGUCUCCCACAACAAGGUCAAUUCCUUUAUUAAAGGUUGUAGAUAAACAUCAAUUUUUGUUUAGGGUUGUUUGGCCUUGGAACAAUGACAGUUAAGAACAUGUACGCCUCUUUCAUAUACAUCCCUGGAGGCAAAUUGUAUGGAGUGACAAUCGCUGGCCAUGAAGAGUAUUUCCUCCCUGAAUGACCAAAGGGCUGAAAACCAUCAGUACAUAAUCCCAACCUCAUAUUUCUUGGUUCAACAGCAAAAAAAAGGAUGAGUUUCGUUGAAGUGCUUCCAAGCCUUAGAGUCUGAUGGAUGACGCAUUACGCCCUCCUCUUGUAUGUGCUUAUGAUGCCAUCUCAUAUUAGCGGCUGUAGCAUGAGAUGCAUAUAAUCUCCGCAAUCUAGGAAUCAAAGGAAAAUAAUAUAUUUUUUUGUAAGGGAUUAAUUUCCUCUUACAAGAACCGACACGGCGUUUGUACCUCUGGUGGCCACAAAACUUGCAAGAUGUGAGGUCCUCAUCUUCACCCCAAUACAUCAUACAUCCAGAAUUACAACAAUCAAUCUUUUCAACUGGAAAACCCAAGCUACGCACUAGCUUCUUGGUCUCAUAAUAGUUAUCAAGCAUUGUGUUAUCUUCUGGUAAAGCCUCUUUCAACAAUUGCAUCAUUUGUUUAAAACCUCUUUGUGAUAAAGUAUUCUCCAUUUUAAUAUUUAGCAUCCUGGAAACUACUGCGAGUUGAGAGAGGGAAGAACAGGGUAUAAUUUUGUAUUAGCGACUGUAGCAAAUCAUAAACCUUUGGCACUCAAGAUUUGGCUCCUUCUCCAUUGAAAGAUUAGGCUCCUCAUCCAUUGAAGGAUUAGGCUCCGCCUCCAUUGAAGGUUCAUAAGAAUGAGACGACUCAGGUUCAAUAUUAUUAUAAGACUGCCAGCUCAAACCAUGGCCAAAAUUGGGUACAACUGCAUCCAAGACCAUUUGUCGAUAUGGAUUCUCAUAUCCCGAUUCAGGUUGAGCGCCACCAUGCAAAUCACCACUAGAAGACAUCUCACCAGUCACAUUUUUUUCUCUUUGAUACUUCCAAAGAAAAUUGUUCUCAACAAAUCCAUAUUGAUAAAGGUGCAAUUUAACAGUUUCAACAUCUAUGUAUUUAAUGUUGUGAUAUUUUUUACAUGGACAUCUAACAUUGUCACCACUCAUGCGAUUGCCCUGAGAACAAGCAAACUGGAGAAACUUGUUCACACCAGUUAUGAAACUUGAAUUAAUACCCCUUCGGCCAUCCAACCUUUUGUACAUCCAAUCACGCUCUAAAUUGUCCAUGUUCCUAUUUAAUAUUAAAAUAAACAAGACCUUAGAGUUCUUUAUUUAAUAAGAUAUCAGAAUGCUUUCUAAAAUGAAUAACAAGUUGACAUCAGAAUGCCUUCUUUUCUGGAAAAAUCCUACUUUAGAAAAUUAACAGUGGAAAGUUAAAAUGGAAAAAUAACCAAAAACCAAGAACAAGUUCUAAUUCAUUUCCAGUGAACUUUAGAAAGAAAGCAACUCACAUAGCUAGUACUCGUUGUAGAAAUACUGUCGAGAUAGCCAACAAAGAACUUCAAAGUGCGAAUCUAUCACAUCCACUGAAAAAUCUUGAAGGAAGAACCAAAAAAACUGCAUUCAAUCUCAUCAUGUUUAUUAGAUAAAGUAUAUUAAUUUCAGAUACAAAAUCAAACUUGAAAGAGUUCACUUUAUAUUGUAUAUCGUACAGUCUAGGACUAGGGGGAAUGUUACAUAGUCUUUCCUUUACCUUUUUCUAAAGAGUGUUUUCACGACACCUAUACAUUACCAAAAGAGUAAUCUACCAUUUCGCCCAGAUCUGCCCUCAAAAUUAUACAAAAACUAUACAAAGAAAAAUGAAAGAUUGCAACGGAGGCUGGGGCGACGAAAGAAAAGUUAAAAUUAACAAUGUUAAUGAAAAAUGUAACAGCUUAUACAGGUUUUACCUAAAUGGAUGCAAAGAAGUCAAUUUUGGAGGAACCUAUUCACCUUACAAAUACAAUCAUACUCAGUCUAAACUAUGGAACAUAGAUAUACUCAACAUGCAUCUAUUUAUCUAUUUAUAUAUGUGCAUUUUCAACUCAGAUACAUUUAAUGACAUGGAUGUACAAAAUUCAGUAAGAAAAACUAUCCAAAGAACAGUAAAACUACGGGAUACUCGUAAUUUUCCAUUGCCAACACACAAGUGGAAUAAACAAAGAAUAAAAUGAGGGAAAAAACAAUAACAAAGAGUAGAGAAAAUCUGGAAUAAAGAUGGAGAAACUUUGAAAAGAAAACACCAAAAUAAAGCAAAGUAAACGAAUUUAGAGGAAGAGAGAGAUAGAAGCACAAGACAGGAUGAACAUGAUUCUCGCCCAGAUCUACAAGACAGGAAUAAAAUCACAAAGAAGCUUACCAUAUCAAGGACAUACAAUCCCUAAAAUCAACGCAUCAGUCAAACAAAAGUUACAAUCCCUACCCUUUCGUCUAAGAAUCUUGCGGAGCAGCAAACACACGACUUCGAAUAUCAGAAUUCUGCAGCAAAUAUUUUGCAAUUUCGAAAGCUUUCUUUUAUUUUUCAGACAUUAACCCUAGAUUCAUGCCCAAAUUUUUGUAUUUGAAUAAAAAAACACACAUUGUUGAAGAGGAGUGAAAGUGGGAGUCUAUAGAGAGGAGAGAAAGUGGACGUGUUUGUGCCCUAAUAGUUGGAAUGUCUUUAAACUAGGGUAAUUUUAUUUUUAGGACAAAAGUUUUAGCAACGGAAAUAGCGACGGACCUAAUUUCUGUCGCUAAUAAUAACUAAUGAAAUUUUAUUUUAAGAAAACUAGUGACAAAAUCUUAUAUCGCAACUAACUUUGGAAUGUCUUGAUAAGUAAAAUGAAUGCAUCGACGGAUUUUUUGACGUUGAAUCCAUCGCUAAGUUUUAAUAAUUUUUGUUGCUCCACUUUCGUUGCUAAUUUUGUAGGUAAAAUAAAGGCGCUAAUAUUUAGCGCCAAUUUUAGUGACGAAUAUAAGUUUUUGUCGCUAAUCCGUCGCUAUAUUUGAUACAAAUUUUUUGUAGCUUAUUUGGCGAUAAACUAUAAAAUUCGUCGCUAAUCCGUCAUUACUUAGCUAUGGAGUAUCUCUUGUCGCUAAAUUCCGUCGCUAAACGCUAUUUUUUUGUAGUGUCAAGCUCAGCCAAGUCAGCCUGCUAAAAGAGCAAAGACUGAAAAAGACAAGAACAGAUGUUCCAA
rnacentral:lncRNA from 1 species